UGCUUGGAAGGCCUGGUAGGGGCGGUUACAGGCUUGCGUCACUCAUAUAAAGCUUGUAUGUGCUAUACUGAAGAAUAUCAAGUCUGAAAUAUUUGCUUGACUAUCAAAAUAUUCCAGUGUUUUCCCAGUCACCCAAGCAAACUACCAUGCUGACUUUCAGCCAUUAUGACAAAGCAUCACCAGUCAUCAGGUCCUCUGACUAGGAGGGCCCAUGUCACAGUCACUUAUAAAGAGAGGAUGGCCGGGCUGCUUUGGACUGAUGGACUUGGGGUGAGGGAGAGGGAUGAUGGCGGGAACAGCCAGAGGCUGUCUUAACCAGAACCUCACUGCUGACCAGAGUUGGGGACCGUGAGAAGAUGGCAAAACCCUGUAAAUGUUGGUGUCCAACAUGUUGCACGAAGGAUUUUCCACAGAGACACAAAGCAAAGAAAUCACCCCAGAAAAGGAACAAAAGCCUAAGUGAGGCACACAUGGCUUGGCUGAAGAAACUGCUUGAUUCCAUGCAGUACCAAGUCAUAUUUGUUCCCAUGGCUGACUCAGACGACAGCCCCUCCUGCGGCAGGUCCAAGACCACCAUAAUCAUCAUUGAGCUUGCCUCUCCACCCCAGGGCCUCUGAAUAAACCAUCAUCUUUCUCU